UAGGCGUAAAUGAUGCGAGUUAAGUGUGGGGGCAUCUACGAGAUGGCCCUGUGCUGUAGGGUAGCCGUCAAACUCGCUGCCUGGGGAGUACGGUCGCAAGGCUGAAACUUAAAGGAAUUGGUGGGGGAGCACCACAACGGGUGGAGCCUGCGGUUUAAUUGGACUCAACGCCGGGAAGCUCACCGGAUAAGACAGCGGAAUGAUUGCCGGGCUGAAGACCCUGCAUGACCAGCUGAGAGGUGGUGCAUGG
rnacentral:rRNA from 1 species